rnacentral:rRNA from 1 species
GUGCAGCAGGCGCGAAACCUCCACAAUUCACGCAAGUGAGAUGGGGUUACCUCGAGUGCCGUCUGAAGAAGGCGGCUUUUCCAUGGUGUAAUGAGCCGUGGGAAUAAGGGGGGGGCAAGACUGGUGUCAGCCGCCGCGGUAACACCAGCCCCCCGAGUGGUGGGGAUGAUUAUUUGGCCUAAAGCGUCCGUAUCCGGCUCUGUAAAUCUCUCGUUAAAUCCAGCGUCCUAAGCGUUGGGCUGCGAGGGAGACUGCAGAGCUAGAGGGUGGGAGAGGUCAGCGGUAUUCCUGGGGUAGGGGCGAAAUCCAUUGAUCCCAGGAGGACCACCAGUGGCGAAGGCUGCUGACUAGAACACGCCUGACGGUGAGGGACGAAAGCUGGGGUAGCGAAUCGGAUUAGAUACCCCUGUAGUCC